UUUCCCAAACCUCAGUACAUACUAUUACAGCUCAGUAAAAGCACAAGCAGCAGAGUUUCGAAUAGCCUGAAAGCAUGAAAUCUACAACACUUUUGGCGUCUAUCUUAUUUAUCUUAGGUCUAGUCUGUUUAAGCAAUGGCUGCAAAAGUCGGUCGGCAGAGAAUUUGCCCGUGGAAGAAAGUGUCUCGACAGAAGUGAAGAAAAGCAAUGAAAGGAACUAUCGGCCAAUAAUGACCUCAAUGGAAGUAACUAAAGAUAGUGGACACCAAACAGAUUUUUACAUCAAAUCAGAGAAUGAGAGCAGGCACUUGGAAAUGAACAAAGACAAAUCCAAUAUGGAAAAAAACUCACAAUUUGGUAAAGAAAGCAUUUCUGAGAAAGAGCCAAAGACUGAAGAUAACAAUGAAAAAAAAGUAACGCAAGAUCAUUUGGAGAGAAAGCAGAAUAAGCUCCAGCUAUGAAAAACAGUGUAUCGAGACUUAGUGGACCAGUACAAUGGAUUUCACGUUUCAUCUCAAUGUUUCUUUAGGUUUUUAUCUAGUAUGUAGCCCAGGUACGUAUAUGUUUUAAUGUUGUUUAUUGGUGUAUCACGAUAGUUGAUUUGCAUCUGACGAUUUUGGAGUGAGAUCCUUUUUGCUGUUCCAAAUAACAUAGCCUCAGUCUUACCCUUUUUCAGAUUAAUGAUCAGUUCAUUCUCAUCAACAUAAUCAGCAAUAAGCUUUCAACCAUUUGUUAACGUUUUUUCAAUCUCUUCAACAUUUUUACCAGCUGAAUAAAUUACUGAGUCAUCAGCAUACAUCAAAAACUGACUCUCGCUGAUACAAUCAGGAAUGUAAAAAUAUAAAAGAUGAUAAAAAGAAGUGGACCCAGUAUUGACUCUUGAGGAACACCAUUGUAAACUGUUUGAAUAUUUGAUAGUCUUGUACCUAAGUGAACAACUUGUUGCCUUUCAAAUAAAUAAUCAGUAAACAGCUCUAA